rnacentral:lncRNA from 1 species
UCUGCCGAAGGCUUUAUUUUACUUUUGGAAUAAAUGGUUUCAAAUUCAGUGACAUUAAAGCAAUGCUAAGGUAUUGCUUCCCUCUACUGUUUUGAAAAUUAUAAUAUUCAUGCUGGAAAUUGUUGUUGAUUAGAUCUACUAAUUAAACAUAAUAAAGUAUGAUAAUAGCAGUCCUUUCUAUAUUGUUAUUCAGGGACUCUUCUUAGUUGCUAUGAUUACAACUUAUCUUCACACGCCACUGUAUUGGAUAUUUUUGGAAUCAUGACUCCUAAUAUGGUUAUGAUUUGUAUUAAAAUUUACUUCUGGCAAGGACAGAUGAUACACAGAUAGAUAGAUAGAUAGAUAGAUAGAUAGAUAGAUAGAUAGAUAGAUAAACAGGUAGAUAGAUGAUAGAUAGAUAGAUAGAUAGAUAGAUAGAUAGAAUACAUAUGAUAGAUGUCAGACAUAGAUGGAUAGAUAGAUAAGAUAUAUACAUAGAUGAAUGAUAGAAGAGAGGAAGGAGGAAGAAAGAGGCAAGCAGAGAGAAAGAAAUUGAGAGAGAAAGAAGAGAGAGAGAGAGAAGAGAGAGAGAGAGAGAGAGAGAGAGAGAGAGAGAGAGAGAGAGAGACCCAGGUACAGUAGAUGGUAAAAUACUGCACCUUUUAUUUGGAGCUGGGAAAUAAAGUUAGGACGUCCAUGUGUGAAUAAGUACUUUACCAGAGAGCGAUAUUCCCAGUGCAAAUCACUAAAAUAACUUAAAUGUGUGUU